rnacentral:rRNA from 1 species
CGUACUACAAUGGUAGGGACAGAGGGCUGCAAGCCGGCGACGGUAAGCCAAUCCCAGAAACCCUAUCUCAGUCCGGAUUGGAGUCUGCAACUCGACUCCAUGAAGUCGGAAUCGCUAGUAAUCGCAGAUCAGCAUUGCUGCGGUGAAUACGUUCCCGGGCCUUGUACACACCGCCCGUCACACCAUGGGAGUUUGUUGCACCAGAAGCAGGUAGCUUAACCUUCGGGAGGGCGCUUGCCACGGUGUGGCCGAUGACUGGGGUGAAGUCGUAACAAGGUAGCCGUAUCGGAAGGUGCGGUUGG